rnacentral:rRNA from 1 species
GAUGAACGCUGGCGGCGUGCCUAAUACAUGCAAGUCGAGCGAAGCGGGGACGGGUGAGUAACACGUGGAUAACCUCCUCUAAGACUGGGAUAACUUCGGGAAACCGGAGCUCUACCGGAUACUUAUAGAUGGAUCCGCGCUGCAUUAGCUGGUGGGUAAGGUAACGGCUUACAAAGGCAACGAUGCAUAGCCGACCGGAGAGGGGAAUCGGCCACACUGGAACGGGAACAGGUUCCAGACUCAACCGGAAGGAAGCAGUAGGGAAUCUUCCGAAAUGGGCAAAAGCCUGACGGGGAAACGCCGGUGGAGUAAUGAAGGUCUUCGGAUCGAAAAACUCGGUUAUUAGGGAAGCGGUACCUAAUCAGAAAGCCACGGCUAACUACGUGCCAGCAGCCGCGGUAAUAC